GGAAACCAUAGCAACGAGCAGCUAGAAGACGCCGGCCAUUCAUCUCCCUUUUGUUCCUUGCCUUGCAUGUGGACUCUCCAAUUACAGACGCCGGAUGGUUUAGGAGACGCACACCUGGAGCUCAGGGGAGCAGCCCGCAGGGCAGCUUCCAGGUGGUGCCCAUCCUUCCAUGGACUACAAUCUGAGCAGCCAGAAGACUAGAAGAUUUGCUCAAGAAAAUCUAGCUAGUCAUAAUGGGCAGAACAUGACUUUGAACUCAGAUCAACAUGUCCAUAUCCCCUUGGCAACUGCUGCUCCAACAUGCGCAAUGGGGGUUCUCCUGUAAGCACACCCAGUCUCCUCCCGAGGGCCUUCUCCCUGCCCACUCAGGACACGCUGGAAGUUCUGGCAGUUACUGCCUCAACAGCAGCAAUUACCCAAUGAUGGGUGGGAGCUGGAAGGCAAAUACCCCAGCUUUUUUACCUCUUCAGUGGGAUAACCCUGAGCUAUCUUCUACAACAUCUCCCAGAAGUCCCCAGUGAGACUGCAUUCCAGUUGCUCACAGUGUUAACUUGCUCAAUAAAACCUUUUCUUGGCUUUUUCUCCUUUUCUCUGUCACUUCCCCACUCUCCUACUAGUAGUUCUUGAGAUGAGCUACCAAAUAAAUU
rnacentral:lncRNA from 1 species